rnacentral:rRNA from 1 species
AUACGGAGGAUGCAAGUGUUAUCCGGAUUUAUUGGGUUUAAAGGGUGCGUAGGCUGUUCGGAAAGUCAGGGGUGAAAGCCCGGCGCCUAACGCCGGAACUGCCUUUGAUACUUCCGAGCUGGAAUACGGAUGCCGUGGGAGGAAUGAGUAGUGUAGCGGAGAAAUGCAUAGAUAUUACUCAGAACACCGAUUGCGAAGGCAUCUCACGAAUCCGUCAUUGACGCUGAGGCACGAAAGCGUGGGGAUCAAACAGGAUUAGAUACCCUGGUAGUCCACGCAGUAAACGGUGAUGACUAACCGUCGGCGAUACACAGUCGGUGGCCAAGCGAAAGCGAUAAGUCAUCCACCUGGGGAGUACGUUCGCAAGAAUGAAACUCAAAUGAAUCGGCGGGG